GCGGCAUGCUUAACAUGCAAGUCUAACGGCAGCACGGGUGCUUGCACCUGGUGGCGAGUGGCGAACGGGUGAGUAAUACAUCGGAACAUGUCCAGUAGUGGGGGAUAGCCCGGCNAAAGCCGGAUUAAUACCGCAUACGAUCUAUGGAUGAAAGCGGGGGACCUUCGGGCCUCGCGCUAUUGGGGUGGCCGAUGGCGGAUUAGCUAGUUGGUGGGGUAAAGGCUCACCAAGGCGACGAUCCGUAGCUGGUCUGAGAGGACGACCAGCCACACUGGGACUGAGACACGGCCCAGACUCCUACGGGAGGCAGCAGUGGGGAAUUUUGGACAAUGGGCGAAAGCCUGAUCCAGCAAUGCCGCGUGUGUGAAGAAGGCCUUCGGGUUGUAAAGCACUUUUGUCCGGAAAGAAAUCCUUUUGAUNCUAAUACNGGGGGGAUGACGGUACCGGAAGAAUAAGCACCGGCUAACUACGUGCCAGCAGCCGCGGUAAUACGUAGGGUGCAAGCGUCAAUCGGAAUNACUGGGCGUAAAGCGUGNGCANGCGGUGAUGCAAGACCAUGUGAAAUCCCCGGGCUCAAACUGGGAACUGCAUUGGUGACUGCAUCGCUAGAGUAUGGCAGAGGGGGGUAGAAUUCCACGUGUAGCAGUGAAAUGCGUAGAGAUGUGGAGGAAUACCGAUGGCGAAGGCAGCCCCCUGGGUCAAUAC
rnacentral:rRNA from 1 species